GCUGACACAUCCCGGUCAAUCUCCAGCAGACCCUCCCUCCCAGACCCUCCUACUUCCUGGACAGCAUCCGGGUUCUAAUAUGUUGAAACAUGGAUGCUGUCCAGGAAGUAGGAGGGUCUGGGAGGGAGGGUCUGCUGGAGAUUGUCUGGGAUGUGUCAG